rnacentral:rRNA from 1 species
GGGUUGUGAGGUUAAGCGACUAAGCGUACACGGUGGAUGCCCUGGCAGUCAGAGGCGAUGAAGGACGUGCUAAUCUGCGAUAAGCGCCGGUAAGGUGAUAUGAACCGUUAUAACCGGCGAUUUCCGAAUGGGGAAACCCAGUGUGAUUCGUCACACUAUCAUUAACUGAAUCCAUAGGUUAAUGAGGCGAACCGGGGGAACUGAAACAUCUAAGUACCCCGAGGAAAAGAAAUCAACCGAGAUUCCCCCAGUAGCGGCGAGCGAACGGGGAGGAGCCCAGAGCCUGAAUCAGCAUGUGUGUUAGUGGAAGCGUCUGGAAAGGCGCGCGAUACAGGGUGACAGCCCCGUACACAAAAGCGCAUGUGCUGUGAGCUCGAUGAGUAGGGCGGGACACGUGGUAUCCUGUCUGAAUAUGGGGGACCAUCCUCCAAGGCUAAAUACUCCUGACUGACCGAUAGUGAACCAGUACCGUGAGGGAAAGGCGAAAAGAACCCCGGCGAGGGGAGUGAAAAAGAACCUGAAACCGUGUACGUACAAGCAGUGGGAGCACCCUUCGGGGUGUGACUGCGUACCUUUUGUAUAAUGGGUCAGCGACUUAUAUUCUGUAGCAAGGUUAACCGUAUAGGGGAGCCGGAGGGAAACCGAGUCUUAACCGGGCGUUAAGUUGCAGGGUAUAGACCCGAAACCCGGUGAUCUAGCCAUGGGCAGGUUGAAGGUUGGGUAACACUAACUGGAGGACCGAACCGACUAAUGUUGAAAAAUUAGCGGAUGACCUGUGGCUGGGGGUGAAAGGCCAAUCAAACCGGGAGAUAGCUGGUUCUCCCCGAAAGCUAUUUAGGUAGCGCCUCGUGAAUUCAUCUCCGGGGGUAGAGCACUGUUUCGGCUAGGGGGCCAUCCCGGCUUACCAACCCGAUGCAAACUGCGAAUACCGGAGAAUGUUAUCACGGGAGACACACGGCGGGUGCUAACGUCCGUCGUGAAGAGGGAAACAACCCAGACCGCCAGCUAAGGUCCCAAAGUCAUGGUUAAGUGGGAAACGAUGUGGGAAGGCCCAGACAGCCAGGAUGUUGGCUUAGAAGCAGCCAUCAUUUAAAGAAAGCGUAAUAGCUCACUGGUCGAGUCGGCCUGCGCGGAAGAUGUAACGGGGCUAAACCAUGCACCGAAGCUGCGGCAGCGAACGUAUCACCCAAGACAACUUUACGGAGUUGACGAUUGACGGAGCGAAGCGACGUCAAAGCGUUCAUUAAAGUCGAGUUGGCUUAGGGAUACGUUCGUUGGGUAGGGGAGCGUUCUGUAAGCCUGUGAAGGUGUGUCGUGAGGCAUGCUGGAGGUAUCAGAAGUGCGAAUGCUGACAUAAGUAACGAUAAAGCGGGUGAAAAGCCCGCUCGCCGGAAGACCAAGGGUUCCUGUCCAACGUUAAUCGGGGCAGGGUGAGUCGACCCCUAAGGCGAGGCCGAAAGGCGUAGUCGAUGGGAAACGGGUUAAUAUUCCCGUACUUGGUGUUACUGCGAAGGGGGACGGAGAAGGCUAUGUUGGCCGGGCGACGGUUGUCCCGGUUUAAGCGUGUAGGUGUGUGUUCCAGGUAAAUCCGGUUCACUUUAACACUGAGGCGUGACGACGAGGCACUACGGUGCUGAAGCAACAAAUGCCCUGCUUCCAGGAAAAGCCUCUAAGCAUCAGGUAACACGAAAUCGUACCCCAAACCGACACAGGUGGUCAGGUAGAGAAUACCAAGGCGCUUGAGAGAACUCGGGUGAAGGAACUAGGCAAAAUGGUGCCGUAACUUCGGGAGAAGGCACGCUGACACGUAGGUGAAGUGAUUUACUCAUGGAGCUGAAGUCAGUCGAAGAUACCAGCUGGCUGCAACUGUUUAUUAAAAACACAGCACUGUGCAAACACGAAAGUGGACGUAUACGGUGUGACGCCUGCCCGGUGCCGGAAGGUUAAUUGAUGGGGUCAGCGUAAGCGAAGCUCCUGAUCGAAGCCCCGGUAAACGGCGGCCGUAACUAUAACGGUCCUAAGGUAGCGAAAUUCCUUGUCGGGUAAGUUCCGACCUGCACGAAUGGCGUAAUGAUGGCCAGGCUGUCUCCACCCGAGACUCAGUGAAAUUGAACUCGCUGUGAAGAUGCAGUGUACCCGCGGCAAGACGGAAAGACCCCGUGAACCUUUACUAUAGCUUGACACUGAACAUUGAGCCUUGAUGUGUAGGAUAGGUGGGAGGCUUUGAAGUGUGGACGCCAGUCUGCAUGGAGCCGACCUUGAAAUACCACCCUUUAAUGUUUGAUGUUCUAACGUGGACCCGUAAUCCGGGUUGCGGACAGUGUCUGGUGGGUAGUUUGACUGGGGCGGUCUCCUCCUAAAGAGUAACGGAGGAGCACGAAGGUUGGCUAAUCCUGGUCGGACAUCAGGAGGUUAGUGCAAUGGCAUAAGCCAGCUUGACUGCGAGCGUGACGGCGCGAGCAGGUGCGAAAGCAGGUCAUAGUGAUCCGGUGGUUCUGAAUGGAAGGGCCAUCGCUCAACGGAUAAAAGGUACUCCGGGGAUAACAGGCUGAUACCGCCCAAGAGUUCAUAUCGACGGCGGUGUUUGGCACCUCGAUGUCGGCUCAUCACAUCCUGGGGCUGAAGUAGGUCCCAAGGGUAUGGCUGUUCGCCAUUUAAAGUGGUACGCGAGCUGGGUUUAGAACGUCGUGAGACAGUUCGGUCCCUAUCUGCCGUGGGCGCUGGAGAACUGAGGGGGGCUGCUCCUAGUACGAGAGGACCGGAGUGGACGCAUCACUGGUGUUCGGGUUGUCAUGCCAAUGGCACUGCCCGGUAGCUAAAUGCGGAAGAGAUAAGUGCUGAAAGCAUCUAAGCACGAAACUUGCCCCGAGAUGAGUUCUCCCUGAGACUUAGAGUCUCCUGAAGGAACGUUGAAAACGACGACGUUGAUAGGCCGGGUGUGUAAGCGCAGCGAUGCGUUGAGCUAACCGGUACUAAUGAACCGUGAGGCUUAACCUUACAACGCCGAAG